UCUCACUGCACCCACGCUACCCCCUCUCCACCCCAUCGCCACCAUCCACAGCACCCGCUGCCAGGCCAGGGCUCCAGGGCACCCCUUCCCUUGGCCAGGGAGUCAACAGAGGUAAAAGUGAUAUUGCUCAAACAAAAGCAGAGAAACUUUGGCUGGGGCACUGGGGAGAAGUUCAGGGUCAGAGCUUGCUUAACUGUGAACUGGUGGGAGGCAAAGAGAGGGAAGUCUCCCCCUGCCUGUCUCUUCCCCAGGGGAGGAAGUGACCCCCAGGGGACAGGGACAUGCUUCUUCUGGGGCGGGGGGUGAGAUGAGGACAACUGGGCAAGUUAAAUUCUGGAAGAAGUAGGAAUGCUGAGGACCCUGGGCAUUAACUGCUGAACGCAGCAGAGGGGUCCUGGCAGGAGAUCCCCAGAAGGGGUCACUGAUAAGGCAUGGCAGUCCUCCCCCACCCUCCUUCAGAACGGUUAGAUGUCCCCCGGAAUAAGCAAAACCUGGCUGCCUCAAUUUGGACUCAGCAUCCUGGCAGAAAUGGGAAGAUCUAGCACCAGCCUGGGGACCUGUAAAAGCAUCUCCAACAGCAACCACAGCCUUGCUGCUCCCUCACGAUACAAGCCUGGGCGUUUAUUUCACAUCACGAAGCCUCAGUUUCCUCUCUUUGUCACCAAGGCUAAUGGGGGAUGUCAACCCAGAGAGAGAUAAGACACCCAAUCUCACACCCUCCAAGAUCCUGCUACACUGGUCUCUCUGCCCUCCUGUGAAUAUGCCAGUCUCAUUCCUGCUUCAGUGCUUUGCACUCGAGUUCCCUCUAUCUGGAAUAUUCUCCCCAGUUGGCUUCCUCCUUCGCUUCCAUCUGAUCUCUACUUAAAUGGCACCUCUUUGGAGGCGGCAGGAGCCCGGUGCGCAUCAUACCAGUUGAGUUCAGCAACAGGUUCAAAGGAGUUCCUCUGUGACCAGAAGUACAGUGAUGGAGACAACCUGCCAGAAAAACUUGCAGCCUUUAAAGAGAAGUACAUGGAGCCUGACCUGAACAAUGAGGGCGAGACUGACCAUCUGAUGUCUUUAAAGAGGAUGGAUAGUGGAGAAGCUUGGGGUCCCCAAGACCCACCUGGAAAUGAAGACUAUGGUGACAGGCGAGGUUGGCCACACCAUCUCUUGCCGAGACUUUGUGAACAUAAGACUGUCAUGAUGUUUGAAGGAAAAGCCAAUGAGAGAAGCCUCAAGCCCGUUGGCCCCCUCCAGAGAGAGACACUGCCAGUCUGCCCCGAGGACCCGCCGGGACCUGCCUCCCCCUCCCCCGUCUCCUUCCUCCCCUCCCCAUCUC